rnacentral:rRNA from 1 species
UACGAAGGGGGCUAGCGUUGUUCGGAAUUACUGGGCGUAAAGCGCACGUAGGCGGAUCGAUCAGUCAGGGGUGAAAUCCCAGGGCUCAACCCUGGAACUGCCUUUGAUACUGUCGAUCUGGAGUAUGGAAGAGGAGAGUGGAAUUCCCGGUGUAGCGGUGAAAUGCGCAGAUAUCGGGAAGAACACCCGUGGCUAAGGCGGCUCUCUAGUACGGUACUGACGCUGAGACGCGAAAGCGUGGGGAGCGAACAGG